CUACUACUACUACUACUACUAGUAAUGAAAACAUCUCCAGAGUUUAUAUCAAAUGAUUGGUGAGCUAAGUUCAUUUGCUAAAAAUUGUAAUUCCAUUCUACAAGCUCCUUGAGAGUCACUUUGGCCCAUGGACAACAAUAUAUUGCAUUGACACCUCCUGUAGCAUGAAAUCAGAGUAGAACAAGUUGAAAAAAUAAAAUGACCAGGGCUGUUAAAUUAUUGCCACUUUUUUAUCUUGACUUUUGAUCACAGGAGACACGGCUGUUAUGGCUGUUUCGGUCCAUUGUUUAACUGUCAUUUUUCCUCGCAGUCUGCUUGCAAUGGCAAACGAAGAGGGCAGAGUUGUAGCAAUGGAGAAGAGACGGCUGCCCCUUAUCAUUUUUUUUCCCCUUUUCUUCUUCCUCUACCUUUUCUUUUCCCAAAGGCUGACUACAAUGGACCUUCUUUUUAGCUUUUCAUUUGUGCUAUUAGCCAUUUCUCUACAAACAAUGGCUGCAUGUGUAUGCUUGCCAAAAUUAUUUGGCUGUUAUUGCUGGAUUUUUCAUGUUCAAAAAAUUAAUAUAUCAUAUGACCAUAAAUCUUUCCAGUAAGUAAUUAUUUUAGGUAUUGGAAGCACCAUUAUGUUACAUAUCUCAUUAAAAGAGUCAUUUUGCUAAUCUUUUUCAAAGAAAAUUAUGUUACUGCAGGCCAAUACCAUUAUACUUUGGCUGCAACUGGUAUGAGUAUCAGCCAAGACCGUUAUUUAAUAACCCUAAAAGUGAUGCCAAGAUUCUUCUACCAGUGCAAAAUGGGAUCUAAGAAUUUUGUGACAAACAAAGACAAUAAAAUGAGAAAGUAUUACC
rnacentral:misc_RNA from 1 species